rnacentral:rRNA from 1 species
CUCCAAGAGCAUAUAUUAACGCUGUUGCUGUAAAGGGUUCGUAGUUGAACUGCAGAACGCGACGCCGAGGUCAAGUCCUUUUCCCACGGUCUAGGAAGCCUCGAUCGCGUUCGGAGAACGUCAGAAACUAAGAUCACGGGAGCGUUUUCAGCCGCCAACCACGCGAGCAAUGCCCGCAGGCGGACGUCCGUGUUCAUUACUGUGACUAAAGAAGUGCGACCAAAGCAGUCCAUCGACAUGAAUUAGAAAGCAUGGGAUAACAAAGGAGCAGCCUAUGGGCUACCGUUUCGGCUUUUGUUGGUUUUAAAAGUUCGUGGGAGAUUACGGGCGGGCAGGACCGGCGUCGUGGAGCCUCGUGUUCCCGCGCUUCCCCCUUGUGCCGGAUCCCGGUGCUUGCGGGGCCUGCCUUGCUCAGGAAUGAAGGAGGGUUGCUCGGGGGAGAACGUACUUGAGCGUGAGAGGUGAAAUUCUUAGACCGCUCAAAGACGAACUACAGCGAAGGCAUUCUCCAAGGAUACCUUCCUCAAUC